ACUGUGGCCAGCUCACUAAUAAUCACAGAGGAAGGAGGGAGACCGAAUGCACCCCCCCGGGACAAAAUGAGUUUGACACCCCUGGCAUAGAGAGAGGACACUGAGGAAGCUGUAGGGUUAAGUAAGUUACUGUAGGGAUGUUGAAGACACUGAGAUUAUAGACAGCCCACUAACAGAGACAUGACCCAUUGCAACAGAAGAGCCAUAACAACAACGAAGGGCUUUACCAGUGUAGUAAGGUGGGGUACCUAGCUAAACAUAGACGGUGACGUUUUGUUUGAAGGCUAGACUUCCAGAGAAGGAUCAACUAAAGCUGAAGAGGACUCUCCUUCCAAAGAGAAAUAACAGAGUAACAGAAUCCAUUCCAGCUGAAGAGGACUCUCCUUCCAAAGAGAAAUAACACAGAGUAACAGAAUCCAUUCCAGCUGAAGAGGACUCUCCUUCCAAAGAAAAUAACACAGUAACAGAAUCCAUUCCAGCUGAAGAGGACUCUCCUUCCAAAGAGAAAUAACACAGAGUAACAGAAUCCAUUCCAGCUGAAGAGGACUCUCCUUCCAAAGAAAAUAACA